UGAGGAACAUGACCUUCGGCGGGGGAUAGCCGGCCCAACGGCCGGGUAAUACCGCGUACGACCUUUUGGGGACACCCCGAUUGGUGAAAGCAGCAAUGCGCCGAAAGAGUGCCUCGCGGCCUAUCAGCUUGUUGGUGAGGUAAUGGCUCACCAAGGCGACGACGGGUAGCUGAUCUGAGAGGACGACCAGCCACACUGGAACUGAGAUACGGUCCAGACUCCGUACGGGGNGCAGC
rnacentral:rRNA from 1 species